UCUCCGGAACGAAUCCUCGAGGUUGGC
rnacentral:sRNA from 1 species